CCAACGGGCACGGCAGCUCUAGGGCACUUAGUGGGGCGCCCCAAGCCUCUGCCGCCCCCAAUUUUCCUAGCGUGCCCCGCCUCUCUCCGUCCUCGCCUCCGGCCCGCCCCUUCCUCCCGGGCUAGCCCCCGCAGUGCCCGCCCAACUCCAGGACUACGCGGAGAGACAGAAACCAAAACUCGGCACACACGGAAAGCCUGGGCCUCCUUAAAGCCCCAGCUCUGAGCGCUUUCUGGGCAGCUCUUGACUCGAACUCCACUGCGGCCCCUCAAUGAUGGCAGCCAUGUUAGUUGCAUCCGGGUAUGUCGAGGAGCCCCGACCAAAGUCUCCCGGAAGUGACGCGAGCGCGGAGGGAUUCGCGUUCGGCUGAGGUGAAGGGGCUCCGGAAGCGGGUGCGGUAGAGACGUUGACAGGAAAGGUUGGGUCUUAUUCACUACCGAGUUCUUGUAUCCAGUUUUAUGUGUCAUGUGUUGUGCUCGACAUCAGCAUUGCCGUGCCAUUUAAAUCCUUUCUUCCCAAUGGGCCCAGGAGGAAGAAAUUUUAUCCUUUCCAUUAUGGAGACAUUAAGGGUCGCAGAGGGCAAGUGAAUUGUCUAAGGUCAUUCAGCUUGUAUUGGAGCUGGUCUGACCCCCUCAGUUUGGCUGCGGAGCCUGUCUUUUAAAUCUCCGUAAUGCCUACGUUUCGCAAAAUCCCAAUCUCUCGUGCUUGCAUCCUGGCAGGUAGCUUCGGUAGGGGCGUUCACCUUCAGCUCGGCAACAUUUGCCCAUGGAAUGGUGCCAAGCCACCGUGGUCUUUGCGGUGGACACAGACCGAACUGUGUGCCGGGAUCACCUAAACUAACCCAGUGCCCUGGGAUCUCACUUGGUCUCCUACCCCUUGAGUAUGCACAUGCAGGGUUCUUGCUGACCUCGACCGCAGGUUAACUGUGGGGAUUGGGCACUGACUGUUGGAGCUGGGAAACAUUUUAACUCCUGUCGGGCACUUGUAAAGUCAAGACUGUUCAGACCAUUCGAGGCCUGUCAUCAUCGUCCAGUCGGUCUUGAUAAAGGACUGGCAGCUAUUAUUUUGGGUUUUCCACCAAAUCAGUUGUUUCUCUUGGUUUCCAUUUCUUUAGAAUAUGACUGAGAACCAGUACUUUGAUCUUAUGUCAACAUUAACUAUAACCAGUUUUCAAAUACUGAAGUGUGAAUAGCCAGUGAGGUCUUUUUUUCUUUUUGCUGUGUUUUGUUUUCUUUUUCUUUUUCUUUUACAGAGAGGCCACCAGGUGGGGAAAUAGCCACACACACCCCAACACCUCCUUAGAAUGGGAACUCUGAGACCCCUGGGUGUCAAAGGUCCCAGGGGCACCGUGUCCUCAGGGAAGGACAGAGCCCAGUGCUGGAUAUCAUGGGAGCGAGGCAAUAUUUUUGUAAAAAUAAAUUAUGUAUAGAAAAAAGCACUAAACAAAUACAUCAGAAUUAAGAAUGAUAAUAUUUGAAGAGUGGCCACUUGAUUCUUUUCUUUUCUUUUUCUUUUUUAUAUCUGCUACAAUAUCUUUUUAAUAUAGGGAAAUAAACAAAUUGACCGCAGCAAAUCGUUUUUAAUUGCUUGCGAUAAUGAAGGUAAAGGCAUAUUGCCAGAUUUUGACCAAUGACAGUCCUUGACACAAACUACAGGAAUUCUGUUAGGAAAAGCAUUGGUUUUUGUCAGGAUGUUAUCAAAACACAGUUUUGGUAUUGAUGUUUUUCACACACCUUUGUAUAAAAAUAUCCUACAAUCAAAGUUUUUCUUCUAAAAGAAAGAGAAGAAUUUGGGGCACUUGAAAUUCUGGAGAACAAGUAUAAAAAGCUAUUUUUAUUCUGCUUUCUUUGGGGUACACCUUUAAGCUAUUUAUCAGGUUUAGACUGUGCAAAAUAAAGGUUUCAUUCUCUAUUUCUGCAUUCUGCUUCCCACUGUUGCUUUUUAGUGACCUCUGAAGGAGUGGCACAGAAAUACAGUGAAAACAUA